GACAGAGGGUGCAAACGUUGCUCGGAAUCACUGGGCGUAAAGAGCUCGUAGGCGGUUCGUCACGUCGGCUGUGAAAUCCCGAGGCUCAACCUCGGGUCUGCAGUCGAUACGGGCGGACUUGAGUACUGCAGGGGAGACUGGAAUUCCUGGUGUAGCGGUGAAAUGCGCAGAUAUCAGGAGGAACACCGGUGGCGAAGGCGGGUCUCUGGGCAGUAACUGACGCUGAGGAGCGAAAGCGUGGGGAGCGAACAGG
rnacentral:rRNA from 1 species